CUCUGCAGCGUUGGCCCCGUAAGCUUGGACAAAACACAGGUGAGGGCGGGAGGGAGGGGGGGAAAGUGGUAGCCAAAGUGACUGGCUUGCCGAAAGGCUAAUGCAGCCUCCCCGCCUGGGAAGGGUGCUGAACGCGAGAGGGUUUUAGGCAAAGGUUCAGGAAAGAUGCUGCAAGUCGAGAUAAAAAUAAAUCACCGGAGGAGAAAGAUGUGAAUCACUUCCAAGUCCCGACGUUCACCCGCGCAUCUCGCAUCUCUGACGGUAACCACCACGGGGUCAUUCCUCCGUGACCCUUUGCCGGGCGGCACGGCACAGCGGCCCAAGGAUGAACGCAGGCUACUCCUGCAAAAAGUCGUCUCAAUCUCCUGAUGCCGGGGCUCGGGGUCAGCUGGAGAACUUUCUGGAAUCUGCCCUCAAUCCCCCUCAAAGUUCACUGCCACACCAGCCCGGAACUAGUAGAAUCGUGACAGAAGCUCAGGCCAUUCCUGGGAGCGUAAGUCAGGCUGAGAGACAAGUCAAGUAUGUGCAGCGUAGAAUCGUCUGUACGUCUGUCUGUCUGUCUGCCUUGAGGCCACGCCGAGUGCCAAGCUCCAGCACCUCCAUCACCACGGAAGGGCUAAAAGCUCUCCACGACAGUCCCGUGUCCAUCUAGUCCAUCCCAUCCCGCCCUGCUCACUUAUACUGUCAGAGCUCAGGGGUUUGCUUCCAUUCCCCGUGGCCCAGUCCUUGUUUGGCUUCUUCAGACACCACAGGGAAGAAACUUUUUGGUUUGGCGCAUCCCCAUUUGUUUUUAUCUUCGUUGAUGUCCUUUGCCAACAGAGCUGACGCGCCGACGACAUCUCUGAAGUCCACGUCAGGGCACCUUCUGCCAGUGCCUUCCUCUGUGCACUUUGUGAAUCCAGGAUGAACACCAAGGUCUUUAACCCCGUCCUGAAUGAGGUCUUGUGCACAGUGUGAAACGGGACCCGAUUCUUUCCACUCCCCCCGCUCCACCCCUGCCCCACGUGGCUGGUCGGUUUCUCCAAGCCCAUUCCUCGAAGAGGCCCCACCUGUUCCAUGCGAUACUCUUAGCGCCUCUGUCACUGAUGGUCGAUACCGCUGAGCACUUACAUCGGGGCUCUCAGUUCCAGUCAUCGGUCAGAGUCUGUUUCCCCUCUACCCGCACUGCUCUGAUAACUGCAGCGAGGGCCAGAGAUAGCACCGAGGGUGUGGCACUCGCCGUGGGCAGCUCCCGUGGCCGCGUGCCUGUUUCUAAUUCCCAGUGUCACAGACGGUCCCUGAGCACCAUGAGGGAGGACUCCCGAGCUCAGAGCAAGGAGCCGCCCCUGAGCAAUGCCAGGUGUGGCCCAGCCC